rnacentral:tRNA from 1 species
GCCAGCAUGGCUCAGUGGUUGAGCAUUGAUCUAUGAAUCAGAAAGUCACGGUUCGAUUCCUGGUCAGGGCA